ACUUAUUCUCAGGGCGGGGUGAAAAUCCCCACCGGCGGUAUCCCAGGUUAUACUGGGGAGCCCGCGAGCGCUCCUUCGAUUGAUGGAGGUCAGCAGAUCUGGUGAAAAACCAGAGCCGACGGUCACAGUCCGGAUUGAAGAGGAUAAGG
rnacentral:ncRNA from 2 species